GACGAACGCUGGCGGCGUGCUUAACACAUGCAAGUCGAGCGGUAAGGCUCCUUCGGGAGUACACGAGCGGCGAACGGGUGAGUAACACGUGAGUAAUCUGCCCUUCACUUUGGGAUAACCACCGGAAACGGUGGCUAAUACCGAAUACGACCAGUCUUCGCAUGAGGUGCUGGUGGAAAGUCUUUUCGGUGAAGGAUGUGCUCGCGGCCUAUCAGCUUGUUGGUGGGGUAAUGGCCUACCAAGGCUUCGACGGGUAGCCGGCCUGAGAGGGUGACCGGCCACACUGGGACUGAGACACGGCCCAGACUCCUACGGGAGGCAGCAGUGGGGAAUAUUGGACAAUGGGCGAAAGCCUGAUCCAGCAACGCCGCGUGAGGGAUGACGGCCUUCGGGUUGUAAACCUCUUUCAGUACCGACGAAGCGCCCUGUCGGGUGGUGACGGUAGGUACAGAAGAAGGACCGGCCAACUACGUG
rnacentral:rRNA from 1 species